CGAAAUUGUAGUUUAAUAAAAAUAUUAGCUUUGGGAGUUAAAGAUUAAAUUUAAUUUACAUUUCGG
rnacentral:tRNA from 1 species